rfam:Halorientalis sp. IM1011, complete genome.
GCCAGGGGAGCUUGGGCGGUCCAAGCACCCGACUUGUAAUCGGGAGUUCGUGGGUUCAAAUCCCACCCCUGGCU